rnacentral:rRNA from 1 species
GGGUUGUGAGGUUAAGCGACUAAGCGUACACGGUGGAUGCCCUGGCAGUCAGAGGCGAUGAAGGACGUGCUAAUCUGCGAUAAGCGUCGGUAAGGUGAUAUGAACCGUUAUAACCGGCGAUUUCCGAAUGGGGAAACCCAGUGUGUUUCGACACACUAUCAUUAACUGAAUCCAUAGGUUAAUGAGGCGAACCGGGGGAACUGAAACAUCUAAGUACCCCGAGGAAAAGAAAUCAACCGAGAUUCCCCCAGUAGCGGCGAGCGAACGGGGAGCAGCCCAGAGCCUGAAUCAGUGUGUGUGUUAGUGGAAGCGUCUGGAAAGGCGCGCGAUACAGGGUGACAGCCCCGUACACAAAAAUGCACAUGCUGUGAGCUCGAUGAGUAGGGCGGGACACGUGGUAUCCUGUCUGAAUAUGGGGGGACCAUCCUCCAAGGCUAAAUACUCCUGACUGACCGAUAGUGAACCAGUACCGUGAGGGAAAGGCGAAAAGAACCCCGGCGAGGGGAGUGAAAAAGAACCUGAAACCGUGUACGUACAAGCAGUGGGAGCACGCUUAGGCGUGUGACUGCGUACCUUUUGUAUAAUGGGUCAGCGACUUAUAUUCUGUAGCAAGGUUAACCGAAUAGGGGAGCCGAAGGGAAACCGAGUCUUAACUGGGCGUUAAGUUGCAGGGUAUAGACCCGAAACCCGGUGAUCUAGCCAUGGGCAGGUUGAAGGUUGGGUAACACUAACUGGAGGACCGAACCGACUAAUGUUGAAAAAUUAGCGGAUGACUUGUGGCUGGGGGUGAAAGGCCAAUCAAACCGGGAGAUAGCUGGUUCUCCCCGAAAGCUAUUUAGGUAGCGCCUCGUGAAUUCAUCUCCGGGGGUAGAGCACUGUUUCGGCAAGGGGGUCAUCCCGACUUACCAACCCGAUGCAAACUGCGAAUACCGGAGAAUGUUAUCACGGGAGACACACGGCGGGUGCUAACGUCCGUCGUGAAGAGGGAAACAACCCAGACCGCCAGCUAAGGUCCCAAAGUCAUGGUUAAGUGGGAAACGAUGUGGGAAGGCCCAGACAGCCAGGAUGUUGGCUUAGAAGCAGCCAUCAUUUAAAGAAAGCGUAAUAGCUCACUGGUCGAGUCGGCCUGCGCGGAAGAUGUAACGGGGCUAAACCAUGCACCGAAGCUGCGGCAGCGACGCUUAUGCGUUGUUGGGUAGGGGAGCGUUCUGUAAGCCUGCGAAGGUGUACUGUGAGGUAUGCUGGAGGUAUCAGAAGUGCGAAUGCUGACAUAAGUAACGAUAAAGCGGGUGAAAAGCCCGCUCGCCGGAAGACCAAGGGUUCCUGUCCAACGUUAAUCGGGGCAGGGUGAGUCGACCCCUAAGGCGAGGCCGAAAGGCGUAGUCGAUGGGAAACAGGUUAAUAUUCCUGUACUUGGUGUUACUGCGAAGGGGGGACGGAGAAGGCUAUGUUGGCCGGGCGACGGUUGUCCCGGUUUAAGCGUGUAGGCUGGUUUUCCAGGCAAAUCCGGAAAAUCAAGGCUGAGGCGUGAUGACGAGGCACUACGGUGCUGAAGCAACAAAUGCCCUGCUUCCAGGAAAAGCCUCUAAGCAUCAGGUAACAUCAAAUCGUACCCCAAACCGACACAGGUGGUCAGGUAGAGAAUACCAAGGCGCUUGAGAGAACUCGGGUGAAGGAACUAGGCAAAAUGGUGCCGUAACUUCGGGAGAAGGCACGCUGAUAUGUAGGUGAAGUCCCUCGCGGAUGGAGCUGAAAUCAGUCGAAGAUACCAGCUGGCUGCAACUGUUUAUUAAAAACACAGCACUGUGCAAACACGAAAGUGGACGUAUACGGUGUGACGCCUGCCCGGUGCCGGAAGGUUAAUUGAUGGGGUCAGCGCAAGCGAAGCUCUUGAUCGAAGCCCCGGUAAACGGCGGCCGUAACUAUAACGGUCCUAAGGUAGCGAAAUUCCUUGUCGGGUAAGUUCCGACCUGCACGAAUGGCGUAAUGAUGGCCAGGCUGUCUCCACCCGAGACUCAGUGAAAUUGAACUCGCUGUGAAGAUGCAGUGUACCCGCGGCAAGACGGAAAGACCCCGUGAACCUUUACUAUAGCUUGACACUGAACAUUGAGCCUUGAUGUGUAGGAUAGGUGGGAGGCUUUGAAGUGUGGACGCCAGUCUGCAUGGAGCCGACCUUGAAAUACCACCCUUUAAUGUUUGAUGUUCUAACGUUGACCCGUGAUCCGGGUUGCGGACAGUGUCUGGUGGGUAGUUUGACUGGGGCGGUCUCCUCCUAAAGAGUAACGGAGGAGCACGAAGGUUGGCUAAUCCUGGUCGGACAUCAGGAGGUUAGUGCAAUGGCAUAAGCCAGCUUGACUGCGAGCGUGACGGCGCGAGCAGGUGCGAAAGCAGGUCAUAGUGAUCCGGUGGUUCUGAAUGGAAGGGCCAUCGCUCAACGGAUAAAAGGUACUCCGGGGAUAACAGGCUGAUACCGCCCAAGAGUUCAUAUCGACGGCGGUGUUUGGCACCUCGAUGUCGGCUCAUCACAUCCUGGGGCUGAAGUAGGUCCCAAGGGUAUGGCUGUUCGCCAUUUAAAGUGGUACGCGAGCUGGGUUUAGAACGUCGUGAGACAGUUCGGUCCCUAUCUGCCGUGGGCGCUGGAGAACUGAGGGGGGCUGCUCCUAGUACGAGAGGACCGGAGUGGACGCAUCACUGGUGUUCGGGUUGUCAUGCCAAUGGCACUGCCCGGUAGCUAAAUGCGGAAGAGAUAAGUGCUGAAAGCAUCUAAGCACGAAACUUGCCCCGAGAUGAGUUCUCCCUGACCCUUUAAGGGUCCUGAAGGAACGUUGAAGACGACGACGUUGAUAGGCCGGGUGUGUAAGCGCAGCGAUGCGUUGAGCUAACCGGUACUAAUGAACCGUGAGGCUUAACCUUACAACGCCGAAGGUGUUU